rnacentral:lncRNA from 1 species
CCCAUCUCAUGUGACCCUGAGGGAGGCAGAGUGAGUUAUGGACGGUUUAGAAAGGAAGGUCCGGGCUUCCAACCAUUAGUUCAGUUUUCAGUAAGUUUUCCAUUUCCUCCUUUAUAAAUUUGAAGUACAUUUUAGGGUACCUUUGGGAAUGACUGUGCAGGAUUAUGCUUGCUUCUUAAGAUCUUGGCAAGUUGUCAUGUUGCUGUCUUGCAUAUAGCCAUGGUCGUGAUUGUUAUCCGAAGUGCCCUGCCUUUGUCAAGCAUGACGACUGAGAUGUCCCGGUGAUGGAGUCAAGGAGAACUCUUGGAGCCACCGUGUGAGCCCUCAUUAAGCAGACUGGCUUCCUCACCUGAUGAAAGCCCGGGCACCCUGAGAGGCGGGGCACUGCAGAGCACACCACUGCCUGCAGGAGGGGAACAGAACAGCUUGUGGUUUCCCUCUUGCCAGCCGAGGGCCAUGAGCUUAAGGCUGCCACUCUGAAGUGUUUACCUUUCCCACUUGGGUUCUCUGAGUGCACUGUGCAGUUUGCAGGGGCUCGGUGAUGCGUGAAGACGCCGCUGUUACGUCGGCUAAGGGAUGUGUGCUUCAAACUCUUGCGCGUUAGACAUUUUUGUUUUUAUGGCAAAUAUUACAAAUAAAUAAACAUCAUGAGCAAAAGCUUUCAGGAUAAUAAUUUUAUAAAGUGUAAACAAUUCUUAGACCAAAAAGUUAGAGAACUGCUGUAACAGACAAACCCUUGAAAAACAAUAAUAAUAACAUAUUGUUUGAGCUCUUUCUACACGCUCAAUCCGCUGUCUUCACAUCAUCUUGCUGAAGCUGGAGGACAGUCCACUGGAGUGUCUCACCUUGCUGAUGAGGAGUUGGGAUUGGCUGGUACGUGGCAGAGCUAGGACCGAACCCUUUGCAUCUUGUUUCCUGGGAUGCGUCUUAAGAUUCUGUAGUUAUGGAGAUUCAAAGGAUACAGAACUUCAUAGUGAACCUCUGCUCUGGGAGCUGAGAAGCCACAAGUCUGAGCACCAUGCUGAACACCAGGUCUUCAACACGGAGGCUUUGGGGCUUUCCAGACCCGCACAGAAGAAGUGAGCCUCCCUUGUCCUCUUGGUAAGACAGCGCUUGAACGGUCCCCCAUUGUUCACAUGUUGGAAAUUCAGUCCCCUCUUCCAUCGAUGGCAUUGGGAAGUGGUUAGAGUUAAAUGGAGUCCUCAGGUGAAGCCUCUGUAAUAGUGGUGGUGGCCGUGCAAGAAGAGGAGGAGACCUGACUGAGCUGGAAUGCUGUCUGUCUUGCUGCAGUGUGCCCUGGCCUGUCAGGAGGCAACAAGAAGGCUCUCACAGGUGCCAGCACCACGCUUUCAGGUCUGUCAGCCUUCACAGACGUGAGCUAAGUAACCUCCAGACUACCCAGCCUCAGGUAUUCUGUUUCAGCGAUAGAAAGUAGGCUCAGGGAGGUAGCACGAGCCCUGCUUUCUGGUUCUUUGAGUGUCAGGUGACAAUUCUAACUCUUAUAUCUGGACCCCAGUGGACUGCAGCCAGUCAGUCCUCGGAGAAUCUCAAGUAGCUCGGUAACAAAAUACCCAAGGCAGGACUCAGCCAGCCUGGCUUCCCGACGGUCUUGGCGCCAUGAAAGUGGAGAUGAUGAGGCUGCGGAGAGGGGCUUUCCAUUUCGGUUUCCCUGGGAUCUCACUCCAGCGCUCUAAUGAGGCAGCACACGCUUUAUGUGAAGGCAAAUGUCUCCCUGAUCGUCUAACCUUCCGUGAUGACAGAUGUGAAAGCAGUCAGUGCUUUUGUUCUCAUGUGAGCCGGACUCGGCCGACCAGAUGAGAUGAAGAGGAAGAGGUGACCCGGAGUGGGCUCCUCCUCGCCUGCACUGCCACGUCGGUCACGAUGUAGCAGUACACACACAAAAUCAGAGCUGGCUCCUGUGAGGGUGCCACCCGCCUGCUCUCAUAGCCCAAGUGCAGGAAAACGCUUCCCCAACAGGCUCACCUAAGUCUCCGCAAGCAGGGAAUACUCGAAGUUAAGGUGGUCAGCAGAGUAGGAGGAGGACUGAGAGGUGUGACCAUCCCGGGGCACUGGCUGACCCGUGGGCUGCGCAGAAUUCUCAUUCCCAAGUCCUGGGGUCAUUUUAGUAACCCUCGGGCCUCCCAGGGUACUGAAUGGGAGUGGCUGUGGGAGCUUCUCAGACCCAGAGAGCACUUGCUCCGCUCCAUCAGCUGCGUUGUCAUGACCCCGGUGCCGCGGGCAGCUCCAGGGUUAGGGUUAGUCUGGUCUUUUGGUGAGGGUGGAGGUAGAAUUAAAUUCAGCCAAGUUAGUAUUUCCUGAGAACCUACUGCGUGCAGGACCUUUACUCUGUACUCCCAGUCCUUGACUCUUGCCAUCUUGUUGCAGGUAAUGGCACAGGGAGAAGUGGCAAGAAUUGUGGACUUGUCCUCAAACAGGGGCAAACUGUUGGUACGUGUGGUUGCUUUCUUAGCAUAUGAGUUAUUUAUCACAUUCUACGAGCCC